AUUGAACGCUGGCGGCAUGAUUUACACAUGCAAGUCGAACGGUAACGGGCCGCAAGGUGCUGACGAGUGGCGAACGGGUGAGUAAUGCAUCGGAACGUGCCCAGUCGUUGGGGAUAACUACUCGAAAGAGUAGCUAAUACCGCAUACGAUCUAUGGAUGAAAGCGGGGGACCGUAAGGCCUCGCGCGAUUGGAGCGGCCGAUGUCAGAUUAGGUAGUUGGUGGGGUAAAGGCUCACCAAGCCAACGAUCUGUAGCUGGUCUGAGAGGACGACCAGCCACACUGGGACUGAGACACGGCCCAGACUCCUACGGGAGGCAGCAGUGGGGAAUUUUGGACAAUGGGCGCAAGCCUGAUCCAGCAAUGCCGCGUGCAGGAAGAAGGCCUUCGGGUUGUAAACUGCUUUUGUACGGAACGAAACGGCUCUGGUUAAUACCCGGGGCUAAUGACGGUACCGGAAGAAUAAGCACCGGCUAACUACGUG
rnacentral:rRNA from 1 species